GAGGCUGGCAUAUCUGUGGAGGGGACACGAGAGACAGCUUGGAACUGGCUUUGGAACCCAGUCAUUGAUGAUGAGUCUGGCUCUGUCCACCUCUGAGAAGUCCACCUGCUUGACUGUGCUCCGGAACAGCCUGAAGAAGUGGGGCAUGAAGCCCUGGACCAGCUUCACAUCCCGCUGGACAAAGAUGGCGUCUGUGCUGCUGAUCUCAUCCUUGUUCCAUGGUCCUAUGAGCUCCUUGUACAGCUGGCGGAGGGCCAGGGCCAUGCCCUUCUCUGUGCCGAGGCAAGGACAGUGCAUGUUACAUUCAUGUUGGGCCAAGGACUCCCAGAUGGCCAGCCUUCCCCAGGAAGGCCAGACUCUGCUUGGAUGCACAUGGUUCUUCUGCCCCCUCAGAGGUCUCUGGAGGGAGAUUUCAUUCCAAACCAUAAUCUUGACAACUCCCUUCUUUUCUUAUAAGUCUUGGUCCUACCCCUUUCUUUGGUUUAGAAUGUUUUUCUCUUUUCUUAAGUUACAAACACUAAUUUUUAUAAUAAUGUUUAUGCCAAAUAGUUCAGAUGAUUCUGUUUAAUAUUGACAUAGCCCUGUGUAUUAGGCCUUUUUAGUACUCUCAUUCUGUAGAGGAGGAAUUCAUGGUUUAGAGGAAUUAAGGAGCCACAGUUAAUAAGGGUCAGUUCCACUGGUCAAGGGCCAGUCAAGGGCAAGUCAAGGGCCCAGUGGUAUAAGGUAUGUGGGAAGAAGACGGGGAAGUCCCUCUAUUGCACAAGGGUGGACCUGGCUGGGCUGGAGCCAGCCUGUCCCCAGCUUCUGCUAGGUUCGGCCUCUACUCUAGGAAGCCCACCUGACUCCCCGCCUCCCACUCUGUCCUGUCUCUCACCAUUAAUGUUGAAUCCCAUCGCUGCUUGAAUCUGCUUCUGGGUCUCUCCUCCAGUGGUUGCCUGCAGCAUGGCCAGCACUGAGGCCACCCCGUAGGGCGAGAAAACCACAUUGCGGUCCUUGGAGGCCCGGGCCACCUGCUGAAACACCUUCACUCCGAAGUCUGUGGCCAGAUGGGCGGCCUGGUACUCAUGCCGGUGCAGGGUGGACCCUUCAACAAAGAGGAGGGCCAGGCCCAGUGCCAGGCAGGCAAAGACUGGAGACAGCUGCAUCCUAGAGCAAAUGGAAGAGGGUCAUAUGAGGGAAUGUUCUAGAGGAUGGCUGAGUGGACAGCUGUGGGCCAGCCUCCUCUUUCUUGGUGCCACCUGGGGAUAGAUGAACAGGACAGCUUCUGAUUCAUUAAAGGGUCACAAACAGUGCUGAGCCUGUCAAA